UACGUAGGGACCAAGCGUUGUUCGGAUUUACUGGGCGUAAAGGGCGCGUAGGCGGCAAUUCAAGUCAUCUGUGAAAUCUCCGGGCUUAACCCGGAACGGUCAGGUGAUACUGUUUUGCUAGAGUGCGGAAGGGGCAAUCGGAAUUCUCGGUGUAGCGGUGAAAUGCGUAGAUAUCGAGAGGAACACCGGUGGCGAAGGCGGCAUCCUGGACCGAUACUGACGCUGAGGAGCGAAAGCCAGGGGAGCAAACGGG
rnacentral:rRNA from 1 species